rnacentral:lncRNA from 1 species
UUUAGUCCCUCCGCCCAAGUCUGCCUCUUCCCGACCCCAAGCUUUCCUUUCAGGAAGAAGGUGAGUUGCCGACCCUAAGUCCGCCUCGCCCGACCCCUCCUAUCCGCCCGACCCCAGUUCCGUCUCGUCCGACCCUGUCUGUUCCGCCGACCCUUGUCCGCCUCGCCCGAGGGCUUGGCUGUGAUCUUUUUCUUCAACUCGAGGGUGUAUGUGUAAAACUUGGGAACCCUUCAGCGCUUGCGUCUGAGGAUCCCAGUUAUCACAUCCUCUAGUUCAAGGAUCAGACCACUAGUUUCCC